CUGCGGCAGCGAACGUAUCACCCAAGACAACUUUACGGAGUUGACGAUUGACGGAGCGAAGCGACGUCAAAGCGUUCAUUAAAGUCGAGUUGGCUUAGGGAUACGUUCGUUGGGUAGGGGAGCGUUCUGUAAGCCUGUGAAGGUGUGUCGUGAGGCAUGCUGGAGGUAUCAGAAGUGCGAAUGCUGACAUAAGUAACGAUAAAGCGGGUGAAAAGCCCGCUCGCCGGAAGACCAAGGGUUCCUGUCCAACGUUAAUCGGGGCAGGGUGAGUCGACCCCUAAGGCGAGGCCGAAAGGCGUAGUCGAUGGGAAACGGGUUAAUAUUCCCGUACUUGGUGUUACUGCGAAGGGGGGACGGAGAAGGCUAUGUUGGCCGGGCGACGGUUGUCCCGGUUUAAGCGUGUAGGUGUGUGUUCCAGGUAAAUCCGGUUCACUUUAACACUGAGGCGUGACGACGAGGCACUACGGUGCUGAAGCAACAAAUGCCCUGCUUCCAGGAAAAGCCUCUAAGCAUCAGGUAACAUCAAAUCGUACCCCAAACCGACACAGGUGGUCAGGUAGAGAAUACCAAGGCGCUUGAGAGAACUCGGGUGAAGGAACUAGGCAAAAUGGUGCCGUAACUUCGGGAGAAGGCACGCUGACACGUAGGUGAAGUGAUUUACUCAUGGAGCUGAAGUCAGUCGAAGAUACCAGCUGGCUGCAACUGUUUAUUAAAAACACAGCACUGUGCAAACACGAAAGUGGACGUAUACGGUGUGACGCCUGCCCGGUGCCGGAAGGUUAAUUGAUGGGGUCAGCGCAAGCGAAGCUCCUGAUCGAAGCCCCGGUAAACGGCGGCCGUAACUAUAACGGUCCUAAGGUAGCGAAAUUCCUUGUCGGGUAAGUUCCGACCUGCACGAAUGGCGUAAUGAUGGCCAGGCUGUCUCCACCCGAGACUCAGUGAAAUUGAACUCGCUGUGAAGAUGCAGUGUACCCGCGGCAAGACGGAAAGACCCCGUGAACCUUUACUAUAGCUUGACACUGAACAUUGAGCCUUGAUGUGUAGGAUAGGUGGGAGGCUUUGAAGUGUGGACGCCAGUCUGCAUGGAGCCGACCUUGAAAUACCACCCUUUAAUGUUUGAUGUUCUAACGUGGACCCGUAAUCCGGGUUGCGGACAGUGUCUGGUGGGUAGUUUGACUGGGGCGGUCUCCUCCUAAAGAGUAACGGAGGAGCACGAAGGUUGGCUAAUCCUGGUCGGACAUCAGGAGGUUAGUGCAAUGGCAUAAGCCAGCUUGACUGCGAGCGUGACGGCGCGAGCAGGUGCGAAAG
rnacentral:rRNA from 1 species